rnacentral:rRNA from 1 species
GAUCCUGCCAGAGGCCAUUGCUAUCGGAGUCCGAUUUAGCCAUGCUAGUCGUGCGAGUUCACACUCGCGGCAAAUAGCUCAGUAACACGUGGCCAAACUACCCUACAGAGACGCACAACCUCGGGAAACUGAGGCUAAUUCGUCAUACCCCUCUCACGCUGGAAUGCCAAGAGGCACAAACGCUCCCGCGCUGUAGGAUGUGGCUGCGGCCGAUUAGGUAAACGGUGGGGUAACGGCCCACCGUGCCCAUAAUCGGUACGGGUUGUGAGAGCAAGAGCCCGGAGACGGAAUCUGAGACAAGAUUCCGGGCCCUACGGGGCGCAGCAGGCGCGAAACCUUUACACUGCACGCACGUGCGAUAAGGGGACUCCGAGUGCGAGGGCAUAUCGUCCUCGCUUUUGUGUACCGUAGGGCGGGGCACGAACAAAAGCUGGGCAAGACCGGUGCCAGCCGCCGCGGUAAUACCGGCAGCUCAAGUGAUGGGCGAUCUUAUUGGGCCUAAAGCGUCCGUAGCUGGCCUUGAAAGUCCGUCGGGAAAUCACACGCCCAACGUGUGGGCG